AGUGAACGCUGGCGGUAGGCCUAACACAUGCAAGUCGAGCGGCAGCACAGGAGAGCUUGCUCUCUAGGUGGCGAGUGGCGGACGGGUGAGGAAUACAUCGGAAUCUGCCCAGUCGUGGGGGAUAACGUAGGGAAACUUACGCUAAUACCGCAUACGACCUUCGGGUGAAAGAGGGGGAUCGCAAGACCUCUCGCGAUUGGAUGAGCCGAUGUCGGAUUAGCUAGUUAGCGGGGUAAUGGCCCACCAAGGCGACGAUCCGUAGCUGGUCUGAGAGGAUGAUCAGCCACACUGGAACUGAGACACGGUCCAGACUCCUACGGGAGGCAGCAGUGGGGAAUAUUGGACAAUGGGCGCAAGCCUGAUCCAGCCAUACCGCGUGGGUGAAGAAGGCCUUCGGGUUGUAAAGCCCUUUUGUUGGGAAAGAAAUCUUUCAGGCUAAUACCCUGGGAGGAUGACGGUACCCAAAGAAUAAGCACCGGCUAACUUCGUG
rnacentral:rRNA from 1 species